GACGGGGGAUGCAAGUGUUAUCCGGAAUCACUGGGCGUAAAGCGUCUGUAGGUGGUUCGAAAAGUCCACUGUUAAAAAUUGAGGCUUAACUUCAAAGAUGCCGUGGAAACUUUCAAACUAGAGUAUGGUAGGGGUAGAGGGAAUUUCCAGUGGAGCGGUGAAAUGCGUAGAUAUUGGAAAGACCACCGAUGGCGAAGGCACUCUACUGGGCCAUUACUGACACUGAGAGACGAAAGCUAGGGGAGCAAAUGGG
rnacentral:rRNA from 1 species